GAGCUCAAAUAAACUCUGUCUACUUCUCCCCCCAGUGUGUUUAUUUGGCGCGACGCACACCGGGCAACGAACCCAAUUGUUGUCUCCCUUGGGCACCUUGUGCUGGCAACAGUUUUUGGUGCCCAACAUGGGGCUCGAGGCUAACAUUUCGCCUUGCCCGGAUCCCUCCUGGGGUCGACGACUUGUGGCAACAACCGACGCCCAGCGCGCACCGGUGGUUUCAUCGGGGGCCUCAGCAGAGGCGUGAUUUGAUCGACCCCGGAGAGCACAACGGUGCAACGCGCUCAAAUAGUGGAGAAGCGAUCAUGGGCGACGGUGUGGAACUGGUCCCUCGGACAAGCAAUACUGAAAUUCCAGAUGAUCACAACUUUUAUGACAGAGGCUGAUUUUUCAUGGAGGGAAAUGGGGCCUCAGCAUGACCCAGUAAGAUGGAAAUGAGCUGGAAGACUAGUGCUCCCUAGAUCGUUCUGAUCCUAAGAAUCUCUUUACCCUUAGACAAUCAUUUCACCUUCACACCCCCAAUGGUGGAAUGAAGACAAUAAUAUUAACUCUCCUGUGUAAACACAGCUUUAGAACUACUGAUAAAAAAUACUUCAAAAAUGUUUCAGAGCAAAGUAAUCUUCUUUUCCCCAAAUAUAUGUUCCCACUUUCUGAAAAGGUACACUACUUUAUGAAUGUCACACUUAAUCAAAGUUUCAUUUUUUAAGUGUUGCUCUUUAACUUCCCUUUUAAGGUGAAUAUUCUUACCCUUUCAAAAAAGAUGAUUUCUGGUUUCCAUGGGAGUAAUUUCUGUAUGCACAUCCACUUCCUCCAAAAUUAAUUCUUCACCGGUUUUUAAUAAGUAGCUUAUUAUAAUUUGCCCUAUAAAGUAGAGAGCCAUUACUUUCCAAGAUAAAUUAGUUUUGGUAAACUGAUAUAGGCUUUACUUGAUUUCAAGAUCUGGUUAUUUUUGAUUCUUAGUAAUUUAUUUUUCAGAGUUUUUGAUCCCUUUUGUUAAACCCUUG
rnacentral:lncRNA from 1 species